rnacentral:lncRNA from 10 species
GCACAACUCUUGAAGACUCUGCCAGUUCAGGGGCAAGAAACCAAUUGGGUGUUGUGCCUAAGAACGUGGACCCUGUGGCCAGACUGCUUGGAUCAGUGUCCUCCCUCCACCACUUUGUAGCCAUCUGACCUCAGGCAAGUUACUUCACCUCUCUAUGCCUUGGCUCCUCAUUUAUAAACUGGUGAUAUGAACAGAGCCUGUGUUCUAGGAUUGCUGUGACAAUUACAUAGAAAUGAGUCAACAUGUACAUAGCACACAGAACAAUGCCAGGCACACAGCAAGUGCUAUUUAUGUUCUUCUUUCUUCCUCCUCCUCCUCUUCCUCCUCCUCUUCUUACUUUAUGCCAUUCUGAUAAACACUAUUUUAUUUAUUUUAUAAUUUAGGAACUGAUUCUAAACUACAUUAAGUAAUUUGUUUAAGGUCGAGCAUCUAGUGAGUGUUGGGCACUGUGUUGGAGCUUCAGUCUGUCUGACUUCAAGGCCUGUGCUCCUUUCAAGGUGAGGUGUUUGACACAUCCCCUGCUUGCCAUCCUGGUGGCAUUCUCUCAACCACCAAAGCUUAUGAAAACAUGCCACUCAGGUUAGCUUCCACCGGACACUGACAGAGGAGCAAUUAUACCUCCGCCAAAGAAAAUUCUCAAUGCCAAUAAGGGUUCUGGCUACUGUGGUAUACUUAGAGGAAAUGAAUUUAGGAAGUUUUAAUUAAGAUUUCAAGGAUGAGAAGAGGAAAAUAUGAAGGAGACGGAAUAAAUAUUCUUCUACUUUGAUUGGGAGGGUCAAAAUUCGCUUUCGCUGUCUUAUGAAGGUUGAAGUUCUAGGAUUCAGGAAUAGGAUUCUUUGCUAUUGGGUAUUAAAAAGCAAUAGAGCUCCAAAUAUAUGCAAUCAAUCCAUCCCAUCUUUAGGGAAACCUAAAUCUAAGCCACCUAGUAUAGAGAGCCACUUGUCCUGUGAGUAAAGACUUUUACAAGAUUUAACAGAGAAUAGGAGCAGGAAAGAGACCAACGUAAGGCAGUUGCUAGAACAACAGAAUUGCUUUACAGUUCUGACUUCACAACCUCAUUUUCCUGACCUGAUAGUUCUGAGACGAACUUCUCUGGGUGCAUCUAGAAUCUAUUCCUUCUGUGAGGUGGUCACCAGGCCUGGUGACCUUUUAAGUUUAAUGUAUUAGAGCCAGCUGGGUCUUUGAGCCAGUGGAAGGAGACUGUGUGAACACUUGUAAGCCAUGUGCCUUUGUCCAGUAGCGUUUCAGUGCUACCUAAGCAUCUCUACAGCUAUUGUGUCUGACCUGCUCUGGGGAUUGAAACAUAUAGUUGGAACAGGAGGCAGUGGCUUUUUUUUUUUCUUCGAUAGAUUUCUAAAACCUUUAAAUGAAGUACUGCAUAUAUACAGAAAAGUACAUAGAGCAUAAGUAUAUAGUCCAGUGAGCUAUCACAAAAUGAAUGUACCUGUGUAAGUGCCACUCAGGUUAAAGAAUAGAGCAUUAUCAGCACCCAAGAAACCCACUGAAUAUUCCCUCCAAUUUAUCAUGCUCUUCCUUCUCUCCAAAGGUUACCACUGUCCUGACUUAUAACGCCAUAGGUUAGUUUUAUUUGCAUUUGAGCCACAUAUAAUUAGAAUGAUACAUUCUGUAUUCUUUCAGGUCUGGUGACUUUCACUUACUGUUACAUUUGAAAGUUUUAGUAGAUUUGCAUGUAAUAGGAGUUCAUGUAUUUUUACUGCUGAAUAGUUUUCCAUUCUAUAAAUAUACUAUGAGUUAUUUACCCAUUCAACUGUCCCUUUAAUGGACAUUUAGGUUGUUUAAAAUUUGAGGUUAUUAUGAAUAAUGCUGCCACAAACAUUCUUAUACAUGUCUUUUGUGUAUAUUUCUGUGGGAGUACAUAUCUGCAAGUGGAAUUGCUGAGUCAGAAAGUAUGCAUGUAGUACUCAGCGUUAGAGGAACCUUGCCAAAGAGUUUUCCAAAGUGGAAAUGUGCCAGUUUACGCUUCCACCAACAGUGUGUAUGUUCAAAAUCCUUGCUAACAUUUGGUAUUGUCAGGCUUUUAAAUUAUGAUUGUUCCAAUAGGUGUGUAGUAGCAUGUCAUUGUGGUUUUAAUUUUUAUUUUCCUGAAGACUGAUAAAGUUGAGUACCUUUGGAAAUGUUAAUUGGCAAUUUGGCUACCUUUGGUGAAGUGCCUGAACAUGGCACUGGGUUAUUUGUCUUCCUUAUUAAUUUGUAGUUUUCACUUAUCCUGGACAUGCGUUAUAUGUGUUGCAAAUAAUUUCUCCCACUAUGUGGGUUGCCUCUUCGGUACUUUAAUGGUAUUUUGGGGUGAACAGAACGUCUUAAAAUUAAAGGACCACAAUGUAUCUUUGCCUUUUUGAUUAGGACAUUUUGUGACUAUUUAAAAAUCUUCUAAGAUCAUAAAGAUAUUCUCCCAUGUUAACUUCUAGAACAGGGGUUGGCAAACUAUGGACUGUGAUCCAAAUCCAUUCUGCCAACUGUUUUUGUAAAUAAAGUUUUAUUGGGAUACAGUCAUGCUCAUUCAUUUACACAUCACCCAUGACUACUUUUGUGCUACAACAGACCUUAUGGCACACAAAGCCCAGAAUGUUUAUUCUCUGGCUCUUUACAGAAAAAGUUUGCCAAACCCUCUAGAAGAUUUAUUGUUUUGCCUUUCACAUUUGGAAUGGUAUUUGUGUAUAGUGUGUGAUAGGGAUCAAGAUUUUUUUUCCAUAUGAAUAUGUAAUUGAACCAGUGUCAUUUAUUAAGGGCUUAGCCUUUCCCCAUGAUUCCCUAUGUCAUAAAUCAAAUCAAGUAUACAUAUAUGUGUGGAUCUGUUUCCAGAUUUUCAAUUCUUUUUAUUGGUCCAUUUUUCUAUCCCAUGACCAAUACGACUCUGUUUUACUUGGUGCACUUUUAAAAGUGAGUCACGAUAUCUUCCCACUUCAUUUUUCUUCAAGGUUGUCUCUGUUACUGUUAAGACUUGACAUAUCUGUAUUAGUUUUUGAAUAGGCCUGUCAAUUUCCUCAAAACACCUUCCUGGGAUUUAGAUUGGCAUUAUAUUGAUUCUGUAGAUCAAUUUGGAGAGGUUUGACUUAUUUACAGUGAUGAGAUCCUUCCAGUUCAUAAAAGUGAUGUAUUUUUUAAUUUAUUUAGGUCUUCUUCAAUUUCUUUCAAUAAUAUUUAGACCUGACUUUGAUAUCCUGUACAUAUUUUGAUUGGUUUAUUUCUAGGUAUCUUUGAUGCUAUGAUAAUUUAUGUCAACACUAGCUUUUGUGUAAAAGAAAAAAACUACUAACUAGUCACCUACUGAUAUGGUUUAGCUCUGUGUCCCCAUCCAAAUCUCAUGGCAAAUUGUAAUCCCCAAUGUUGGAGGAGGGGUCUGGUGGGAGGUGAUUUGAUCCUGGGGGCAGAUUUUCCCCCUGCUAUUCUCACAACAGUGAGUUCUCACGUGAUCUAGUUGUUUAGAAGGGUGUAGCACUUACCCCUUCUUAUUCUUCCUCCUUCUCUGGCCAUGUAAGAUGCGCCUCCUUCCUCUUCAUCUUCUACUGAUGAUUGUCAGUUUCCUGAGGCCUCCCAGCCAUGCUCCCUGUGCAGCCUGCAGAAUCAGGAGCCAAU